rnacentral:rRNA from 1 species
AAGCGGAGGAACAUGUGGUUUAAUUCGAUGAUACGCGAGGAACCUUACCUGGCUUAAAUGUAGAGUGCAUUUUUUAGAGAUAGAAAUUCCCUUCGGGGCUUUCUGCAAGGUGCUGCAUGGUUGUCGUCAGCUCGUGCCGUGAGGUGUCGGGUUAAGUCCCAUAACGAGCGCAACCCUUUAUCGUUAGUUGCCAUCUGGUAAUGCAGGGGACUCUAGCGAAACUGCCACCGUAAGGUGAGAGGAAGUGGGGAUGACGUCAAAUCAGCACGGCCCUUAUGUCCAGGGCUACACACGUGUUACAAUGGUCGGUACAGAGGGCAGCUACCUGGUGACAGGAUGCUAAUCUCGAAAACCGGUCUCAGUUCGGAUCGAAGUCUGCAACUCGACUUCGUGAAGCUGGAUUCGCUAGUAAUCGCGCAUCAGCUAUGGCGCGGUGAAUACGUUCCCGGGCCUU